rnacentral:tRNA from 1 species
UCCCUCAUAGCUCAGUCGGUAAAGAAUCUGCCUGCAAUGCAGGAGACCCAGGUUUGAUUCCUGGGUUGGGAA